rnacentral:rRNA from 1 species
AACGAACGCUGGCGGCAUGCCUAACACAUGCGAGUCGAACGAGACCUUCGGGUCUAGUGGCGCACGGGUGCGUAACGCGUGGGAACCUGCCCUUAGGUUCGGAAUAACUCCCCGACAGGGGUGCUAAUACCGGAUAAUGUCUUCGGACCAAAGAUUUAUCGCCUUUGGAUGGGCCCGCGUUGGAUUAGCUAGUUGGUAGGGUAAAAGCCUACCAAGGCGACGAUCCAUAGCUGGUCUGAGAGGAUGAUCAGCCACACUGGGACUGAGACACGGCCCAGACUCCUACGGGAGGCAGCAGUGGGGAAUAUUGGACAAUGGGCGAAAGCCUGAUCCAGCAAUGCCGCGUGAGUGAUGAAGGCCUUAGGGUUGUAAAGCUCUUUUACCCGGGAUGAUAAUGACAGUACCGGGAGAAUAAGCUCCGGCUAACUCCGUG